rnacentral:lncRNA from 1 species
UCGUAGGAGCCUAAAUAAUGUCCUUGAUUAAGUUAUUUUUGUAACCUACCUAAUAUUCUCUAUGGUUUGCUCACAGCCCAUUCUGAUUCUUCGCCGGAAAUUGGAGGAAUAUUUUCGUCACUCUUCGUUACUAAGUUACAUCCAUUCAGUGAGUACUAUAUAAAUGCAUUUUCUGGGAACACGUAGGUUAGUAUUAACAAAUAACAAUCCUCUUUAUUAUUUCUACAUGUCUAAAAAACUCUUAUAUUUCAUCAGAUUCUGCCCAUGGGUAGUGAUUUAAUUAAUUAUUCGACUUGGGAGUUUAUCUUAUGAGUUCAUGAGAAACGUUCGUUUGCCAUAGAAUAUCCAUCUAUUCAUAUCCUUGCUUCAGUUUUUCUGUUUCUUCCGAAUGAGUUCCUUGAUGAGUUUCGACUGGCUCUUCUCAUCUUCACUUAGAUGUUAAUAUAAAAUAAGUUCAAAACUCGGAACAUGUUUCCAUAGUGAUCAAGGAAUGACUUUUGAAGAAAUUGUGAAGAGGUCUUAUCUUUUUGAAUGAGGAUUGUACUGGACGAAAGUCAGAUAAUUUCUAUAGAAAUGAUAAUAAUUAAUACAUCAAUAAUAUCUAAACACGAGAGAAUAAGAAACGCUUCGAAACUUUCUACAUUCAAACUACGGGGUAUGGGGUGAAGGAUGAAUAAAUGAAAUGAUUUAGCACUUUUUUGUGAAAACACUUCGUGUGAUAAACUUUAGUUAGAAUAGUGAUAUAUAUAUCAAAUUAAUUAAGACAAUAAAGAUGGUUUGGAUGGAUUUUUUUCUCAGAACAUCCGAAUUUAUGGAUCUGAGUCCCCUCAUAUUUCCAUUGGGUUCAUAUGUGUUAUGAUAUUUGGGUAUCGAUGAUGUUAAGGGAUCUAAUCUCUUUAGAGAAAUAUUUUGUGCUUGACUCGUUGGAUGACAUCUAAUAUAAUGGAAGUAUGAUUCAUUGUGCAAACGCUCUUUAACGUCAUAAUUUGUUAAUUCAUCAUCCAUUGGUUCAAAUACACAUCCGUUGCUCUGGAUAUUAUGGCAUAAUUGUAUACAUUUCUAAGAACUGAAGAUAUGUUAAAUAAAGAUGAAUAACAAAGGAACUUAUCAUUCUUCAUCUGUAGCUCUUCCAUAGAAACUCCUUCUAAAUUCUACUCUAUUUCGUCUUCUAAAGUUCUUAGAAAACUCUUUUAUUGAUUUGAGCCUUUAAGUGCCAUUGAUGUAGAUAACAAACAAACAACUCAUAUUUGAUACUGAAUCGAUAUAAUAUAAGGUUGUAUUAUUUAUGUAAUUAUAAACCCUCGCUUCGGAUUCCAUUAUUACUUGGGCGUCUCUUUCUUUCAAUAAAGUUGAAUACGAUCCUGGUAUAUCAAUUUAUUGUGGUCCUCUUUUCUAGAUAUAUUUAUCAGCAAAGCCGCAAAACAUAUUCAACUCUCCUAUUACGUACAUAUACGCAUAAAUAGUUUAUGGGAGCUCUUAAGUAAUAAAUAUGUUAAUACAUUAUAUAUAUAGGCUAUAUUGGAAAAUUUGAGUUUCGUUUAACAUAUUUCUAAAUUUAUUGAGUCAUGAGUCAUUUUCUGAUUUACCAAAUCACUUGUUAUCAUAUUAAAAUAUCACUAUUGUGAGGAUCGUCACAAUUAUUCUAGCAAUUACAAAUAAAUAUUAUGUUCCUUGAUAAUUGUAAAGCAUAUUAAUAUGACACUAACAGUUAAAAUUAUUUACUUAUUCAUCAAUUGUAAAUAAUUGUGUAAUACACCUAUAUAUAUUUAUAUAUGUGCUUCAUUGAUUUAUACUUACAUCAUUUUUAUUUAGUAUUAAUUGUUUAGAUCUAUAAUAUAUUUGAUAAUUUAUUAACUUACCACGAUUUAAGAUUAUUAAAAUUAUAUAUUUCUUAAUAUCUAGGUAUGUAGUAAAACAUAAGAUUUUUUUACUAUUCUCAUUGGUGAAAGGUUUAUUCAUUGGUGUUUUUGCAUUGAAAUCCGUGGAUACUUUGUUCAAUGCUUUGUUCCAGAAUGCUGUAGUGCUUACUUUUCUUAGCGUGUACGUUUCUUAAUUCAAUAAUUUAAUUAUAUUACUUGCUUAAAUAUUAUAAUAAUAUCAAAGAUUAUAGAUAAUUUGUUGUUAUAUUUGAUUUACACAAUAUGUGUACACUUGUCUAAAUUAGGAAAUGAAGAGUAUCAGGAUAGUGAUGAUGAAGAUUCCAACAGUUCUUCAAAUAUUUGAUUAGAAAUUAAUAGGACCCUUUUUAUCCCUAAGAACUAGUGACAAUAAGGAUAUAAAUGAUAAUACUUAAAUAUAGUAAUAUUGUAAUGCUUCAUUGAAUAAUAAUAAACACAAAACCCUUAAAAGAAUGAAAUUAAUCAUUGUCAGUUAAUAUUCUUUCGAACCCUCUUUAUAUUAUUCAUCCGUCACUACGUGUCUAGGAGUAAUUUAUGAAAGAACUAUUGUCUUGUUUUCUUGAAAAAUCUUCAUUCAAAACGAUAAGAGCUUUUCACUUUCUUCGUGAUCAUUCCUUGGCCACUAAGGAAACAUAUUCCGAGGUUUGAGAGCUUCUUUUGCAUUACCAUUUAAGUGAAGAUGAGGAGAGCCAGUAGAAACUCAUCGUGGAACUAUUUCCGAAGAAACAAGAAUAUGAAUGGUUGGAUUCAUGAAUCAUGAGAUAGAUUACCAAGUUUGAAGUUGUUAGGUAGAAUAAUUAAUUAAAUACGACCCAUGGCCAUAAUCUGAUGAAAUAAAAGAGUUUUUUAGCCACGUAGAAAUACUAAAGUGGAUUGUCAAUUUUUAAUACCAACCUAUGUGUUUCCAGAAAAUGCAUGAACUCUCCAUGUAUAUAGUACUCCCUGAAUGGAUGCAACGAAGAGCGACGAAAAUAUUCCUCCAAUUUCCGGAGAAGAAUCAUAAUUAAAUUUCAAUCGAUUGGAGUAAUCUGUAAUUUUUUUGUUUAUCUUCUAUUUUUAUAUGACGUAAUGGUGGUAAUAAUUGUAUAUAAUUGCUUAUAAUUAUAUAGUUCGAACUUGUGAGUAAAUCGCUCUGAUUUGAACAUUAAACCUAUGAAACCGUUGCAAUUUCAUCUGCACCUUCUCUUUUCUCUAAAUUCCGUACAAUUUUCCUUUUUUUUCUUUAAAUUAUAAAAAAAAUACUUGAAUUUAGGAGAAGAAAUCAUAACUUCAUAAGAAAUACUUGAAUUUUGUGUAAAGGAGAUGUUUUGUCUAAAGGUUCUAAAAAAAGGAUCUAUUGCAGUAAAGAUGGACUCAAUGAUAAUAAUAAUAAAAAGGAAGAAGAUAUGCGUACUAAAUUUUGAAGGCUCAAAAUAAUCUUAGAAUAAUUGUUCUAAGUCAGUUCAUGAAGAAAAAAGGAUCUUCCAAUUAUCCAUUUGAUCAUGGCGAAUAUCUAAUCGAUUUCUUAGAUGAUUUAAAAGAAGGAAGAAAUAAAGCAGACGAAGCGGAUAAUAAUGCAUCUUUUCUUCAAGAACUAAUUCCUCAGCUACAUGAAGAUACUUUGUUGUCUGAACAAAACACUGAUAUUUUAUAUUAUAUAUAUCAAAACCAAAUUAAUACAUAUCUGUCUGUUUGUUAGAACUA